rnacentral:rRNA from 1 species
GACGAACGCUGGCGGCGUGGAUUAGGCAUGCAAGUCGGACGGUAGGGCUUUAUCGUAAGAUAGAGUUUGAGAGUGGCGAACGGGUGAGUAACACGUAGGAAUCUACCCUUAAGACGGGGACAACCCAGGGAAACUUGGGCUAAUACCGGAUGAGAGUGCGAGAGAUUGCAUUUAAAAGGAUGGCGAAAGUUGUCGCUUAGGGAUGAGCCUGCGGUCUAUUAGUUAGUUGGUGAGGUAAGAGCUCACCAAGGCGAUGAUAGAUAGGCGGCCUUAACGGGUGGUCGCCCACACUGGGAUUGAGAUACGGCCCAGACUCCUACGGGAGGCAGCAGUCGAGAAUAGUCUACAAUGGCCGGAAGGCUGAUAGUGCGACGCCGCGUGAGCGAAGAAGGCCUUCGGGUUGUAAAGCUCUGUCUGGAGGGACGAACAAAAUAGACGGUACCUCCGGAGGAAGCCACGGCUAACUACGUGCCAGCAGCCGCGGUAAGCAUACUCGUA